UACGUAGGGGGCAAGCGUUGUCCGGAUUUAUUGGGCGUAAAGAGCGUGUAGGCGGUCUGUCGCGUCUGCUGUGAAAACUCGGGGCUUAACCCCGGGCCUGCAGUGGGUACGGGCAGACUAGAGUGCGGUAGGGGAGACUGGAAUUCCUGGUGUAGCGGUGAAAUGCGCAGAUAUCAGGAGGAACCCCGGUGGCGAAGGCGGGUCUCUGGGCCGUAACUGACGCGGAGGAGCGAAAGCGUGGGGAGCGAACAGG
rnacentral:rRNA from 1 species